rnacentral:rRNA from 1 species
CUACGGGCCGCUCCAGUGAGGAAUAUUGCACAAUGGGGGGAACCCUGAUGCAGCAACGCCGCGUGGAGGAUGACGCAUUUCGGUGUGUAAACUCCUUUUAUAUGUCAAGAAAAUGACGGUAGCAUAUGAAUAAGCACCGGCUAACUCCGUGCCAGCCGCCGCGGUAAUACGGAGGGUGCAAGCGUUACUCGGAAUCACUGGGCGUAAAGGACGCGUAGGCGGGUUGGAAAGUCAGGUGUGAAAUCCUACAGCUUAACUGUAGAACUGCACUUGAAACUUCUAAUCUAGAGUAUGGGAGGGGGAGGUGGAAUUAGUGGUGUAGGGGUAAAAUCCGUAGAUAUCACUAGGAAUACCUAAAGCGAAGGCGAUCUCCUGGAACAUUACUGACGCUAAGGCGUGAAAGCGUGGGGAGCAAACAGGAUUAGAUACCCCCGUAGUC